GGGGAUUUUAUAGAGCAUUUUACAAGCUUUCCAUAGCCUCGAAAAUGGACUAAUUGUAGCAUCCCCGGAAUCCGGACCCCAAAUCGCCGCGGAUUCGGUACACUAAACAUUCUACAACUGUAUGCGGAAGAUAUAAACAUAGAUUGUUUAUACAUUAAACUUUACACACUAUUCCCAAAAUCGAGUAACCUUAACUAAUACACAAUCGUGAACUGUCUAACACAUGACAAUACUAUUCUUCAACAUACUUUACAACUUAACUUCACAUUCUAUCCCAAGCUGAACUUGGCAUUAUCCUUUUCCUGUAUCUGGCCGUAUUCGCCUUAUCUGCAAUGUUUUAUC
rnacentral:lncRNA from 1 species